rnacentral:rRNA from 1 species
CAUUCAUAAUAAGUGUUUUAUGGCACUUUUAAAAUCCAUAUCCACCUUGUGUGCAAUGUUGAAGAGGAAUUUGGUGAGGUCUUUUUUAUUAAAGAUUUUCCUUAUUUCUUUUUCCCAUAACAAACUCAUUUUUUUUUAAUAUAUCGUCUGAAAACUAUUAUGAAUACUUAAUUCAAAAUACAACUUUCAACAACGGAUCUCUUGGCUCUCGCAUCGAUGAAGAACGCAGCGAAAUGCGAUACGUAAUGUGAAUUGCAGAAUUCAGUGAAUCAUCGAAUCUUUGAACGCAUAUUGCGCUCUUUGGUAUUCCGAAGAGCAUGCUUGUUUGAGUAUCAGUAAACACCUCACAAUCAAUUUUUAUUUGUUUAGAGAUUGAAAGUGGAUUUGAGUAAUCCGUACUUUUUGUCAACACAAAAGGGCCGGUUACUUGAAAUGCAGGUGCAGCUGGAUUUACAACUGAGCUAUAAGCAUAUCUAUUUAGUCUCGUAAAACAGAUUAUUCAUUUUGCUAAAGCUACUCUAAGGUUGAAUCUCCAUAUGGCUGACUGAUGCAGAUUAACAGAAUGGAUUUAAAAACCCCACUUUGUAAACUCGAUCUCAAAUCAAGCAAGACUACCC